UACGUAGGGUGCGAGCGUUGUCCGGAAUUAUUGGGCGUAAAGAGCUCGUAGGCGGUGUGUCACGUCGGCCGUGAAAACCUGGGGCUUAACUCUGGGCGUGCGGUCGAUACGGGCAUCACUAGAGUUCGGCAGGGGAGACUGGAAUUCCUGGUGUAGCGGUGAAAUGCGCAGAUAUCAGGAGGAACACCGGUGGCGAAGGCGGGUCUCUGGGCCGAUACUGACGCUGAGGAGCGAAAGCUAGGGGAGCGAACGGGA
rnacentral:rRNA from 1 species